rnacentral:rRNA from 1 species
UACGUAGGGUGCAAGCGUUAUCCGGAAUUAUUGGGCGUAAAGAGCUCGUAGGCGGUUUGUCGCGUCUGCUGUGAAAACUGGGGGCUCAACCCCCAGCCUGCAGUGGGUACGGGCAGACUAGAGUGCGGUAGGGGAGAUUGGAAUUCCUGGUGUAGCGGUGGAAUGCGCAGAUAUCAGGAGGAACACCGAUGGCGAAGGCAGAUCUCUGUGCCGUAACUGACGCUGAGGAGCGAAAGCAUGGGGAGCGAACAGG